GGAAGUCCCGGUCGCUGCGUUGGAGAAGGCACUCAGGCAAAUCCGGGUGCGUAAUUCAAGGGCGUGGCGCCAUUCACUUCGGUGAAGAAGCAAUCGGAAGUGGUUCCAAGAAAAGCCUCUAAGCUUCAGUUUAACAGGACCGUACCGCAAACCGACACAGGUGGGCGAGAUGAGUAUUCUAAGGCGCUUGAGAGAACUCGGGAGAAGGAACUCGGCAAAUUGGUACCGUAACUUCGGGAUAAGGUACGCCCCUGUAGCCUGACUGGCCUGCGCCAGAAGGGUGAAGGGGUUGCAAUAAACUGGUGGCUGCGACUGUUUAAUAAAAACACAGCACCCUGCAAACACGAAAGUGGACGUAUAGGGUGUGACGCCUGCCCGGUGCCGGAAGAUUAAAUGAUGGGGUGCAAGCUCUUGAUUGAAGUCCCGGUAAACGGCGGCCGUAACUAUAACGGUCCUAAGGUAGCGAAAUUCCUUGUCGGGUAAGUUCCGACCUGCACGAAUGGCGUAACGAUGGCCACACUGUCUCCUCCCGAGACUCAGCGAAGUUGAAGUGUUUGUGAUGAUGCAAUCUCCCCGCGGCUAGACGGAAAGACCCCAUGAACCUUUACUGUAGCUUUGCAUUGGACUUUGAACCGGUCUGUGUAGGAUAGGUGGGAGGCUUUGAAGCGUGGACGCCAGUCUGCGUGGAGCCAACCUUGAAAUACCACCCUGGUUUGUUUGAGGUUCUAACCUUGGUCCGUAAUCCGGAUCGGGGACAGUGCAUGGUAGGCAGUUUGACUGGGGCGGUCUCCUCCCAAAGUGUAACGGAGGAGUACGAAGGUACGCUAGGUACGGUCGGAAAUCGUGCUGAUAGUGCAAUGGCAUAAGCGUGCUUAACUGCGAGACCGACAAGUCGAGCAGGUGCGAAAGCAGGUCAUAGUGAUCCGGUGGUUCUGUAUGGAAGGGCCAUCGCUCAACGGAUAAAAGGUACUCUGGGGAUAACAGGCUGAUACCGCCCAAGAGUUCAUAUCGACGGCGGUGUUUGGCACCUCGAUGUCGGCUCAUCUCAUCCUGGGGCUGUAGCCGGUCCCAAGGGUAUGGCUGUUCGCCAUUUAAAGAGGUACGUGAGCUGGGUUUAAAACGUCGUGAGACAGUUUGGUCCCUAUCUGCCGUGGGCGCUGGAUAUUUGAAGGGGGCUGCUCCUAGUACGAGAGGACCGGAGUGGACGAACCUCUGGUGUACCGGUUGUCACGCCAGUGGCAUCGCCGGGUAGCUAUGUUCGGAAGAGAUAACCGCUGAAAGCAUCUAAGCGGGAAACUCGCCUUAAGAUGAGAUAUCCCCGGGGCUUCGAGCCCCUUGAAGGGUCGUUCGAGACCAGGACGUUGAUAGGUCAGGUGUGGAAGCGCAGUAAUGCGUUAAGCUAACUGAUACUAAUUGCCCGUAAGGCUUGACC
rnacentral:rRNA from 1 species